rnacentral:rRNA from 1 species
GAAUAAGCACCGGCUAACUACGUGCCAGCAGCCGCGGUAAUACGUAGGGUGCAAGCGUUAUCCGGAAUUAUUGGGCGUAAAGGGCUCGUAGGCGGUUCGUCGCGUCCGGUGUGAAAGUCCAUCGCUUAACGGUGGAUCCGCGCCGGGUACGGGCGGGCUUGAGUGCGGUAGGGGAGACUGGAAUUCCCGGUGUAACGGUGGAAUGUGUAGAUAUCGGGAAGAACACCAAUGGCGAAGGCAGGUCUCUGGGCCGUUACUGACGCUGAGGAGCGAAAGCGUGGGGAGCGAACAGGAUUAGAUACCCUGGUAGUCCACGCCGUAAACGGUGGAUGCUGGAUGUGGGGCCCGUUCCACGGGUUCCGUGUCGGAGCUAACGCGUUAAGCAUCCCGCCUGGGGAGUACGGCCGCAAGGCUAAAACUCAAAGAAAUUGACGGGGGCCCGCACAAGCGGCGGAGCAUGCGGAUUAAUUCGAUGCAACGCGAAGAACCUUACCUGGGCUUGACAUGUUCCCGACGGUCGUAGAGAUACGGCUUCCCUUCGGGGCGGGUUCACAGGUGGUGCAUGGUCGUCGUCAGCUCGUGUCGUGAGAUGUUGGGUUAAGUCCCGCAACGAGCGCAACCCUCGCCCCGUGUUGCCAGCGGAUUAUGCCGGGAACUCACGGGGGACCGCCGGGGUUAACUCGGAGGAAGGUGGGGAUGACGUCAGAUCAUCAUGCCCCUUACGUCCAGGGCUUCACGCAUGCUACAAUGGCCGGUACAACGGGAUGCGACGCGGCGACGCGGAGCGGAUCCCUGAAAACCGGUCUCAGUUCGGAUCGCAGUCUGCAACUCGACUGCGUGAAGGCGGAGUCGCUAGUAAUCGCGAAUCAGCAACGUCGCGGUGAAUGCGUUCCCGGGCCUUGUACACACCGCCCGUCAAGUCAUGAAAGUGGGCAGCACCCGAAGCCGGUGGCCUAACCCCUUGUGGGAUGGAGCCGUCUAAGGUGAGGCUCGUGAUUGGGACUAAGUCGUAACAAGGUAGCCGUACCGGAAGGUGCGGCUG